UAAAUAGAUGGACUGAUUUUAAGAUAUGUGAUUGAAUUUGUGGGUCCAUGGAAGACGUUCCGUAUAAGAUUGUUUCUAAUGAAAAGCCAUUGGUAUAAUACAAUUUAUUUACUCUUACAGCAUCAAAUCUGGGACAUACAAAGAAGUAAUGACGUGCAUCUUCAGUAGGGUGGCCACGCAAACAAUCUGCUCUCUCUGAUAUAUGUCUGUUGUGUUUGUCAGGAUGUUUUGUAG